rnacentral:rRNA from 1 species
AGCCUGACGCAGCAACGCCGCGUGAGGGACGAAGGCUUUCUGAGUUGUAAACCUCUUUCGACAGGAACGAUUGUGACGGUACCUGUAGAAGAGGCACCGGCCAACUAUGUGCCAGCAGCCGCGGUGAUACAUAGGGUGCGAGCGUUAUUCGGAUUUAUUGGGCGUAAAGAGCUCGUAAGCGGUUCGAUAAGUCGGGUGUUAAACCCCCAGGCUCAACCUGGGGCCGCCACCCGAAACUGUCGUGACUAUAGUUUGGUAGGGGAUCACGGAAUUCCUGGUGUAACGGUGGAAUGCGCAGAUAUCAAGAGGAACACCAGUAGCAAAGGCGGUGAUCUGGGCCAAUACUGACGCUGAGGAGCGAAAGCGUGGGGAGCGAACAGGAUUAGAUACCCUGGUAGUCCACGACCGUAAACGGUGGGCACUAGGUGUGGGGACUUUUCAACGGAUUCCGCGCCGCAGCUAACGCAUUAAGUGCCCCGCCUGG